CAGGGAGACAACAAAAUGUAAAUAUUAAUUUUGUCACCUUAGGUCGAUCGGUAUCUCAGAUUCUUAUUAUUUAAGAAUUUCAGUUUCUAAGUUUUUUCUAGGUCACACCCAUCACUUUUUCCUGGGCCAUUAGCUCAGGUGGUUAGAGCGCACCCCUGAUAAGGGUGAGGUCCCUGGUUCAAGUCCAGGAUGGCCCAUAUCUCUAUGUUGGGGGUAUAGCUCAGUUGGUAGAGCGCCUGCUUUGCAAGCAGGAUGUCAGCGGUUCGAGUCCGCUUACCUCCACUGAAUACCACCUCUUACAUAUAGUUGAAGUGGGAAAUUGUUUUGAGUCGUGUCCUAAUUUGCUCUGAGCGAAUCUAGCUUCCUAUUUUAUCCAAGAAAUAAGAUGCUGGACUCAUUGAAUUUUUUUUUCAUUGUUUUCAGAGAACCUUGACAACUGCAUAGAUUAUUUUUAAAGACAAUAAGCAUGGUUAAUGAUGCAGAUUUAUUAUUUGUGCGAAUGCAGUAAAUAACAAUUUUACUAAGUGGAUGCGUCAAUUAUUGAAGUUAUU
rnacentral:tRNA from 1 species